rnacentral:misc_RNA from 1 species
CAUUUGUCGAAUGCGCUGAAGCAGAGCACAGAGGAUAGGAUCUGAUAAAACCGCAUGCCGUUGACUGCGAUAUUGAUGCGGUGUCUGUUGCUCAUAAAUUUUCAUUAGUUAGCUUUGUCGUUUUUGCUUGCCGUCCCCACCAUUCCAUUAACAAACACUAUCUGUCCCUUUGUGCUGCUCUAUUCCCUUACCAUUUUCAGCACUCGGACCAUUUGCUGCUCAAUGCCCAAACCCUAGCCCGGACCAUGUUCUCCAUUAACGACAUCGUCUUCGAGCCCGAUGACAUUAAGUUCGGCACUCUCUGGUGGUUCGUUUACGCUGGGGUUUCCUGCCUCCUUGUGCUUUUUGCUGGGAUCAUGUCCGGCCUUACCUUGGGCUUGAUGUCUCUUGGCCUCGUUGAGCUUGAAAUUCUACAGAGGAGUGGCUCCUCCACUGAGAAGAAGCAAGCUGCUACUAUCCUACCCGUGGUCAAGAAACAACACCAACUUCUCGUAACUCUGCUUCUAUGUAAUGCUUGUGCUAUGGAGGCGCUUCCUAUAUACCUUGACAAAAUUUUUCAUCCCUUUGUUGCUGUUCUGCUGUCUGUUACAUUUGUCCUUGCUUUUGGGGAGAUCAUUCCGCAAUCCGUAUGUUCAAGAUAUGGACUUUUUGUUGGUGCGAAUUUUGUGUGGUUAGUCCGUAUCUUGAUGAUCAUCUGUUAUCCCAUUGCUUACCCGAUAGGGAAGGUUCUGGAUGUUGCACUAGGACACAAUGAUGCUAUGUUUAGACGAGCUCAGCUUAAGGCACUUGUCUCUAUCCAUAGUCAGGAGGCUGGCAAGGGGGGUGAACUCACGCAUGACGAAACAACAAUUAUCAGUGGAGCACUAGAUCUAACUGAAAAGACUGCAGAGGAGGCUAUGACUCCUAUUGAAUCAACUUUUUCUUUAGAUGUCAAUUCCAAAUUGGACUGGUGAGUCUGUGUCCUUGUCAUGAAUGGUAUUUCUUUUAUCAGAUUGCUUUUUCAUAUCAUCACUAUGUUGUGGGAUUUCCAUUGCCGUGAAAGAAGUUCUAAAUUUUUGGGUUUCUAAGAUAUGGCCGGCAAAUUUCUUUUGGAAAUUAGGAUUUGUUUUGGCUGAAGUUUAGGACAAACUAAAAUCUCAUUUGGAGUUCUUACUAGUGAGGCUGUAUUACUUGUAUAUGCAAAUUUUAUUUCUUGAGGUUGGUAAAAAAGAGGCAAUUUGGCAAUGGGGAUGCAUAAGAACAGUAUACAAGUAAAUAAUGGUUUUUCUGAAAUUUGAGAUAUUACAUUGAAGGUCUAAAAGCUCCAUCCUGAGGAGGAUGGUAGUUCAUGUACUAUGGUUGUUUUCUUUGCCAACUGCUUUGUUGAGCAUGUGUCAUAUGGCAUGAGACGACUUGUAAGGAUCGUCUCCCAACCUAAUGGGACAAAAGGGAAUAAAAAUGGUGCUAUUAUUUAUUCCUCCUUACUCCUGAAGGAUGAGUUCAUAUCUAAAGAAAAGAGUCUAUAGGUACUUUUCACAUGAAGGCAUUGAUGUUAUUGCUCCAAUACAGGGAAGCAAUUGCGAAAAUUCUUGCACGAGGUCAUAGUCGUGUCCCUGUGUAUUCCGGAAGUCAAAAGAACGUUAUUGGGCUCCUUCUGGUGGGUGUGAAAAUAGAAACUAAAGUUUUCUUAAGUUGAACAACAGUACUUCUUGGUAUUGGUGGCUAGCUAAUUUAGAGGCUGGUUACUUUAUUAUUCUAUUUUAAUUGGAAUUCAGGUGAAGAGUCUGCUGACAGUUCGGGCAGAAACUGAGACUCCAGUCAGUGCAGUUUCCAUACGACGGAUUCCUAGGGUUCCAUCAGAUAUGCCUUUGUAUGAUAUCCUUAACGAGUUUCAGAAGGGAAGCAGUCAUAUGGCAGCUGUGGUGAAGGUUCAUGCAAAGAGCAAGAAUUCUCAGCCUACCAGUGAUGGAGAGAAAUUCAAUGAAAAAAAAUUUGCCAAUGGGGAUUCUCAGUUACAUGAGCCCUUGCUAAACAAGCAUGAUGAGAAAUCAGAAAGUUUCCUCAUUGAUGUUGAGAAAGCUGUGAGGCCUACCAUGAUCAAUGUGAAACAAAUUCUUGGUGCAGCAACAAAUAUGUCUCAUUUGUCAGAGGAUGUUGAAGAUGGGGAAGUCAUUGGUAUUAUCACACUUGAGGAUGUUUUUGAAGAACUUUUGCAAGAGGAAAUUGUGGAUGAGACAGAUGUAUAUGUUGAUGUACAUAAAAGAAUUCGUGUGGCUGCUGCAGCAGCUGCUUCUUCUGUGGCUAGAGCUCCAUCCAAUCGGAGGCUGACUGGUCAAAAGCCUGCAGGUGGUCAAGCUAAGCAGAGCCAGAUCACAAAGAAGUAUGGCGGAUGAUAUUGGACAAAGUUCCAUGGAAUACAGCAAGACUUUUCAGGAAAUAAGAGGAGACUUGAUAAUUCCAGUUCGACAAUUACGCUAUAGGUUCGAAUGUUUAAUUUCUUUGACGUCCGUGGCUUCUGUAAUCAGUAGGUAGAUCACCUUACAAUAUCAGGUCUUGGUUUUUUUCUCUCUGUAUACUAAUCUUUUGUCCAUAGUGAACUUGAAAUCAGACAGGCUUGUGAAAAAUUUUAAAAGUUUCAGCUGUUGUUACACCAGCCACAUCAGUCUAGUAAUCACAUGGUUAACGUGGUUUCUGGGAGAGUGGAGCAGGGUGAGUGAAGUUGUCCCCCCUGUAUCUCCUCAAUUAGGGAAUGCCCUGUGUUGUGUUGGUCAAAUAAUGUAAUAAAUUUGGACUUUCAAAUGGUUUGUAAAUUACUUGUAGGCUUAGUUCGGAUCAUGGUGUGAUAGAGUUAGGAACAUAAACUGACAGAAAAUGAAAAAGAGAAACAGAGUAAUGAAAGUAGUAUUUAAUUGGAAAAUUAGCAACAAGCCAGAACACUCCGAAUACUUGAUUACAAUGAAUCCCUCCAAAUCUCAAUACUGCUCAAAUAUUAAUCACUCUGUGUAACAAAUGGAACCAGGAGAAUACUCCCGUCUAGCAGAGCUAGCCAGCCUAAGCUGAAAAUCAGAUGGAAUUCUCGUUGCCCCCCUCUAGCUGCCUCAUUUCCCUUAUAUAUAACUUUUGUUUCUUCACUGCUGGCAUUCUUCCCAUGUGGAUUAGGUUCCGCAUUUUCCUCCUAGGCUCCUACUGAUUUUCUGCUUCCGUAACCAAUUCCAGCUGUGAGUUUCUGGAACCAUCUUUGUUCUUAUUCUAUUCCUUCUAUAGAAAAUCCUCAAUUGUCUUGGGCCAUGAAUUUCACUUAUUGGGCCUUUAGCUGAGUUCCUAUUACACACACUGCCAAAUUUUCCUGCAUCUGUGUUGGGUGAAAUUAACUUUUUGUGAUUUUUAUUUUAAGCCUUGUUGGCAGCUAAUAUUACAUUCGAUCUCUUCACAUAUUCGUCUAGUCCAAUUGUCUGGACUUUGAAGCCUCCUACCUAGAAAUAUUGUUUUGCUAGAUCAGUUUUAAGUUAUUUUCCUCCUGAAUUCUGGGUCAGUCUGUCACUUGGGGGAGUGUUUGAGAAUACAAAUGAUAAAUCCUUGCACUUUCCUUGUAUAUUAGUUCUGCUGAAAUCAUAGGAUUCUAGGAGAAUGUAACUAAAUCAAAGAUUGUAGUGCUUCAUUUCAUGCCAAAUGCAAGUAAGUACUUGCUUGUCAAGGCAGGCAGCCAUUGAGAUGCCUUCUGAUCUGCUGAAUAUGGUCUUUUGUUGAAUGGGAAGUGAAUUAUACAUCAGUCACAGGGAUCUUUCUUGGGACAAAUAUCUCCUAUAUAUGACCUUAUCAUAUCAUUUUUGUUUGGUUAUUUUUUCCUCUGCUUGAUGCUCUCCUCUUCUGUGAUGUAUUUUACAAAAGCAAUGGAAAAGAGCGCACAUGAAUGAUUUUCUCAAGAUGACUACUGGUUUUAUGGAAGAACUGGAGCUGCCUGAAUCAAAGCCUAGAGUAGCCACUUAUGAAUCCUUCUUUCAGCAUGAUGACAACAAUUCCCCUAUGCCUUAGUGGUGCCAAUGCCAUCAUAUUUUCUUUGGGUUAUAUAAUGUAUGUUUUUAACUGCAUUUCAGAACUGUCAUUCUGUCAUUGAUUUACAUUCAAUUUUUUAGCUUAUCCCAUCUUUAGAAAGCUUAUAAUGCCCCUAUAAAGCAUUCCAUCAUAUUGAUUUUUUAUUUUUUGGGUUGGGGUAAUUUACAUUCUUUAGAAGUUAUCUAUUAUCCCUUUUCACGAGAAUAUGCCUUAGGUGAUCUGUACAGUGGAUACAUAUGAAUAAAAUCAAUCUAUAAAAACUUUUGCUUCUCUUAUGAGUUAUGAAUGUCUUGCUCAAGGGAUCAAUAUUUCAUCAACAUAGAACGUAGGAGUUUUACGUGAACAUGGACAACUUUUAACGAUGCUUCUUGUCUUA